ACCCGCCCGCGCCGCCCUCCUGGGGUGCCUCUCAGGGACCCAGGCGCUCAGCUGCUGGGGCCGCGGAGGGCGUUCGCGGGGCGCCGGGGAAGGCUAGGGCCGCGGGGUCCCCGGGGCGCCGUCCCCAACCGCCGACGCCUGCCAGACCACCAAGUGGGGGCCAUGUCGACGUGUGAGGAGCCUGGUGGAAGGUGAUACUGGAAUUCCGGCACUGGGCCUGCAACCCUUUUAGUCCACAGUUGUCAGAAUCUAAAGGGAAGAAAAACGAAGUGCUCAGAACCCUCACAGAAGCCGGGCACCUCAUCCCGUGUGUGGGUUUUUUCCCCAGUACAAACCCAUUGUGGGGACAGGCGCUUUUGAAGAAAAAAUUCAGAUUCCCGGGCUGAAGUGGCUCCUCACAGCCUUGAACCUGACCCCCAGCUUCCCGCUAAAGCCGAGCGUGCCCAGCACGGCGAGGUCAGCAGAGGCCCCUCGGAGGGCGGCCGGGGGAGGUCAGUGGGAGGCCCUCGGGCAGCCGGUGGAUGGGCCGGCGACCUCCCCGACUCCAUCAGAAGCGCUCAGUCUGUGCCCUUCAGUUACUGGAGCAGCUCCCGUCCUUUGGCCAGUUCUCUGGAAGGUCGUUUCCGUUUCUGUGUCUGCCACACGUGCAGCACAAUCGAAAAACCUUGUUCGACAUUUCUAGAAAGAGUAGAUGCUACUGAAGACCCAAUAGAUUGCUGAGGGUUUUCAGAGCAGGGACAAUUGCAUCAGGGUGCUGGGCUCCGGGAAGAACUCAGAGGACUUGGCUGACGGGCGGAUGGGACAGUGAUUGGUGCCGAGAAUGGGCCAGAGAAGCAGGUCUGCCUGGAGCAGGCACCCGAGGCCGCGUGCAGGGGCGGUCCUGGGCCACCAACCCCUGGAAGCUGGGCCAGGAGCUUCGGAGCCAUCCGAGGCUUUUUUCGCUCCUCUCACUCUCAUGCACCUAGUUACCCUCCCCACAGAGUCUUCUCACGGCGCGGUUUUCGGCUACCAUUGCAGUGGUGUCUGACUACACCCAGUGCCUCUAUCGUUCCCCCCUCAGUCUGUUCUCGCUUCUUGGCAAACCUGUCCUUGGAAAGCCCUCUGCUGACUCCUGUUACCCUGAUCAAAUGCAUCCUCCUCAGGAGGCUCGUGAGCCCUUUGCAGGGUGGCCCAAGAGGCAUCACGCCCUGCUCUCCAGCCACUCUUGGGGUCCCCUACAGGGCCAGGCGUCCCACACCAGCAGCGGGUGCUGGUCCUGCCACAGUCUGUGCGACACGUGAAUGAAGGCUGUAGACCUGUGGUCUGCGGGAGGCAAAUUCCAACUCCAGCUGUCAAACAUAAGGGGACUGGUAGGCUCUCCAGGGUGGAUUGUCUCACGGCAUCCAGAGGCAGGGACCGAGGCAGGGACCUAGCCAGGCCUCGGGAAGGAGCUGCAAACCCAGGAGCUCUGGGGUGUGGCUUCAUCUCCCUCCCUCCCUACCACCCUACCCCCAUCUCUCCGUGUUCUUCAGAUGCCUCAUUUUCCUGUCAGGCACCUGGCCAGCUCUAGGAGCUGGAAUCAGGUUGGUGCCUCCUUGGUCAGUGUCCACCCCUAGUGUCAUCCACAGUGACCAACGGAAGGGGUGGCCGGUGGUACAGGACAUUGGCCAUCUUGGGAAAGAUCACAGAGACAGGAAGGGCCUCUCCAGCUGAGCAGAUGAGAGGUUCUUCAGUGGUCUGGACACAUUUGCCCACUCAUGGCCGUCCCCCUGCCCUGUUGAGAGAACCGAUGAGGAAAGGGAGCCCUGCAUCUGUCGCCUUCCGACUCCGACCGCCUGAGGCUGGGCUGCCGGCAAGCCGCGGCAGCAUAUGACAGCACUUGAAAGAAAGUCCCUGGAAAGAAUGUGGAUCAUUGCAGAACUCCCUCAAGAAAGCGCCAGAGGAGGACCCCAUUCAGCACCCCGCAGAACUCCUCAAACUCCUGCGUCCACACUCCCCCAGCGUGGUGGCUGCUUCUAUCUCCCCAGGCUUAGCUGGCCUGGGUCUUGAAGGCCUCUCCUCCUGCUGUCCCCACGCAGCAUCCUCUCUGCCACUGCACAGCUGGAUGCAGUGAAGGCCAGGCGGCUGUGGCUGCUUGGGCAACAGGAGCUGCUUGACCCUGUUCUGCUGGCCUUGUUGGCCUCACUCCCGUAGAGAGCCAAGGUUACCCACGUCUCUGAAGCUAAGGCUUUCUUUCUAGGCCUGGGGGAGUCACAUCUUGCAUUCGUACUCACUGAGCUCCACGUCUAUGGUUAGAGAAUUUAUCAACAUUUUAUAAUGCUUUUAUCAAUUCCAUCAUUUGAGGGCCCUCUGGCAAGGAACCUGUUAGUACAUGGAGUGCCUGGAAUGUUCCAGAAAGCUAACAUGAACAGCUGGCCCUUGCUGUCCUUAUACAUUGAGGACUCCAAAGGCCACUCAGGAUGACAGGAAAUGCAGGCUCCAAAAGAUUCGGUUCCUUUGUGAGGCCCUCGGGCAGUGGUCAGACACGAAGGAAAUAGGAAAUCACCCCCAAACCACACCUCUCCCUAUGAGGCCACAGCUGCCGAUGCAGCCUUGGGAGGGGGAUGGAGGGAGAGAGGAGGGCAUCUGAAUGUGGACACACCCUGCUGUGAGGGCUGUGGGCGGUCCUGAGACUGGAGCCAGCCCCCAGGCUCAGCUCAGCUCGGGGACCUCGUGCCCGGGCUUUCCUGGGGAGGAAGGUGUUGGAUCUCCUGCCUCUCUGUAUUCAUUCACACUUUGGGUUUCUCUCUCUUCCGCGCAUUCUAACAUCUGCAGGAUUUAUGGAUGAAGGGCCACAAACCCACAUUUGGUCUCAUUCAACAGAUGUUGUGUCGGCAGGGCGAGGUGGGACUCUGUCUCUGCCCACGCUACCUGCCCCUGGGGUUGUAGUUCUAGGAAAGCAAGUCUCAGACUGAGUUUUGAUCUGGAUUAAAUUCUGUCCCAGGUGCAGAUAUUUAUAGGAAAGCAGGGACAAGAGCCCUCAGGCAAAGCUGGGUAUCCUGCGAUGGGUGCCUCUGGGAGUUCGCAGAUAACAAGGCCUUUUCCUGGAGGCAAAGCAGAAGCGUUCUGUGGCAGACCAGUCAGCUUUCUAGCAGGUCAGGGGCAGGGACAUCUAGGCCCAAGGUGUCACACCGUGCCUGGCUGCUGGCUCUCCUCUUGCAAGGACACAGCUCUUACAGGACUUCCUAGCCCACCCAAGAACAUCUUUCCAUCAUCGAAAAGUUAUUGAUAAGAUUUUUCCAUCACUGAAAAGUUAUUGAUAAGUGCCACCAUGUGCAUGAGCAGCCCUCCAGGUGCUGGCUUGUGGGCCGGUGUUUGAGAAUCUUGCCAGUUGAAUGUGGGCAUCUGUUGAGGGUUUCCCAAAGGCUAACCGUUCGUGCCAGAGGGAGGCCGUGGCUCAUUCCUAGGGCCCUGGGUGAGACUGGGGCUCAUGCACACACAGGUAUCGAUGGCAUGGGCUGUAACGAGCUGAGUGCCUGCUGCCCUUUCCUAGUGGGGGGGGUGGGCUCCUGGAGAAAGAGGGGAGGCUGCUACUCUCCAGGGCCACAGGGAGCCCAGAACGCCACCUCCUGGUGUCAGCAGCAGCAAAUCCAUAUAAGUCUGCAGCAACUUAGCUUUUGCCUCCUCAGAGGAAAUAAUUCAUCCAGGGGGCACAAGGCAGGGUCAGAGACUGAGGUAAGUUUCAGAGCAAGAGUGAAAGUUUAUUAAAAAAGUGUUAGAGCAGGAACGAAAGGAAAUAAAGUACACUUGGAGGAGGGCCAGGUGGGCAUCUUGAGAGAGCAAGUACACGGUUUUGACCUUUGACUUGGGGUUUAUAUCUUGGCAUGCUUCUGGGGGCUGCGUCCCUUCUCCCCUGAUUCUUCCCUUGGGGUGGGCUGUCCGCAUGCGCAGUGGCCUGCCGACACUUGGGAGGGCCGCGUGCACAGUGUGCUUACUGGAGUUGUGCGGUGCCCUCUUGAGGCAGUCUUCCCUUACCAGUUCCUAGGGGAAGGUCACACGCUGGUUAAACUUUGCCACUUUGCCUCGUAGUGUGCAUGCUUGACCUCACUCACCAACUCCUGAGAUUUUUUUUAAAUUUUUUAAUUUAAGUUCUAGGGUACAUGUACACAACGUGCAGGUUUGUUACAUAGGUAUGCAUGUGCCAUGUUGGUUUGCUGCAUCCAUUAACUCGUCAUUUACAUUAGGUAUUUCUCCUAAUGCUAUCCUUCCCACCCCACGACAGGCCCUGGUGUGUGAUGUUGCCCGCACUGUGUCCAAGUGUUCUCAUUGUUCAAUUCCCACCUGUGCCAACUCCUGGGAUCUUAUCGGGAAGUGGCUCAUCAUCAGCUUUAGGUGUUUUCUAUCUAUUGGGAGCCUGCCUUUCUCUGGCACCAGCUGCAACCAAUAAUUAUUUUAGACAGUUUAACAACAGCUUGACCAUCACCUGAUGAUCACCUGACAUUUCUGUUGGGGCGCGGGCCCAUCUCCUGCCCCGCUCAUGUGGGGCUCAGUCUGCCCAACCUUUCCCCAAGGGCCUGUCUUUACUUCAUUUGUGGUAAGCCCCAAGCAGAAUGGACUCUUGUUAUGAUCCCAGGAACUGCUCACGGCCACCUCUGUGGAUGAACACCUAGCGGCUGCUCUAAAUACAUGCUGUGAAAGUUGUCAGAAUCAAAAUGGAGUCACUAAUGUUAAGAAAGCCCUGACAAAGAGUUGGUGGGGAAGGCCACGAAGAGAGGACACUUAUGCUUGCAUGCCUGAUACCAGAAAGGACUACAAAAACCACAGCCCGGCACAGAGGCCAUCACACCCUUACACAAAAAAUAUUUCUGCAAGGACAACUGCCCAGCAAUUGCCUGUCCAACCUCAGACUGGAAUGACCUUUGUUAUUGAUGUUUGUAGCCAAGGAGAAUUAUCUCAAAACCACUGUGAUCCUGCUCGCUUUUCCUUUAAAGACCUUUGUCUUCCUUGACCUCCCUGAAUAGGCAUAUGGUUUACUAUGGCGUGUGUACUCUCCUUGUAAUGUUCUGUUCUCAAGCUAACAUCUAUUCUUCUAGAGAACCUCUCUCUUAGGCUGACAACGCUGUGGAUCUGGGCUCCCAGGAACUGGGGCUGACAUCAGAGGGGUGGAAAGAGAACAGCAGCUCUCCCUGAGGGGAUGCUUGCCAAGGAUAAGGAGACGAUGGUUCUCUAAGGAUUAUUUUAUAUUCAUCUAAAAGGGUAUUUUUGUUGUUACCCCUAGCCUUUUUUCCCUUUUAAUUUUCUGAUGAAUAAUUUAUAUAAAGAAAACCCAUUCUAAGUGUGCAAUUCUAUGAGUUUUGACAAAUGUCUUCACCCAUGCAAAUCCUGUUACAACGGAGAUAUAGAACAUUUCCAUUACUUAAAAACAGCCAGGUGCUGUAGCUCAUGCCUGUAAUCCCAGCACUUUGGGAGGUCAAGGCGAGAGGAUUACUUGAGCCCAGGAGUUCAAGACCAGCCUGGGCAACAUAGUGAUGCCCCAUCUCUACAAAAAUAGAAGAAAUUAGCUGGGCAUGGUGGUACAUGCCUGUGAUCCCAGCUACUUGGGAGGCUGAGGUAAGAGGAUUGCUUGAGCCUGGGAGGUGGAGGCUGCAGUAAGCCACAAUCUCACCACUGCACUCCAGCCUGGGUGACAGUCAGACCCUGACUCCAAACAAAAACCAAAACUUCCUUCUUGCCCCUUUGCAGCCAGACUGUUUUCUGUCAUUGUGGAUGCAUCUGUUCUAGAAAUUUACAUGGAUGGAAUCACUCAGUCUUUUGUAUCUGGCUUCUUUUACUUGGCACAGUGUUUGUGAAACUCAUCAUUGUUCCACAUAACAGUAGUUCCUUUUAAUUGCCAAGUGGCAUUCCUUGGUGUGAAUGCACCACAGCUGGGCUAGCCACCCAGAUGCUGAUGGGCAGUCGAUAGGCGGUAGGAUGUCCCCAUUUUCAGUCACUAUGAAUUGGUCUGCUGUAAGCACUAGAGUAGAAAUUUUUUUUUAGAGACAGGGUCUCGCACCGUCAUCCAGGCUGGAGGGCAGUGGCUCAUAGCUCACUGCAGCCUCAAACUCCUGAGCUCGGGCAAUCCUCCCACCUCAGCCUCCCAAGUAACUGAAACUACAGGCACACACCACUACACUUGGCUAAUUUUUAAACUUUUUGUAGAGACGGGGUCUUGCUGUGUUGCCCAGGCUGGUCUUGAACUCCUGGGCACAAGCAAUCCUCCCACCUCUCAAGUAGCUGUAAUAGGUGUAAGCCACUGCCCAGCACCAUUUAUUGAAGAAUCUGUCCUUUCCACAGUGAGUGUGCUUAGCACCUUUGUUGGAAAUCAGUCGGCUGUAGAAAGCGGAUUAAUUUCUGGGCCCUCUGUUCUGUUCCAUUGGUCUGUGUGUCUGUUUUUAUGCCAGUUCCAUGCUGUUUUGGUUACUGUAGCUUUGUAGUGUAUUUUGAGUCUGGGAGUGUGAUGCCUCCAGCUUUGUUCUUUUUGUUCAGGAUGGCUUUGGCUGUUUGGGGUCUUUUGUGGUUCCAUACAAAUUUUAAUAUUAUUUCUUUUUCUAAAAAGAAU
rnacentral:lncRNA from 1 species